GCGUGUGAGAAGGCUUGGUCGUAACCGUGGGAGAGACGUCCCUAGCAGCACCGGUAACUCUGCCACGCCCGUACAGGUGCAACUUGUCGGAAUUAUUGGGCGUAACGUAGGGUUAAGUCGGUGAAAGCCCCGCUACCGGAAUGCACUAGACUGAGUAUGAGGGUCGGAAUCCGUGUAAGGUAAAUUCGUAAUAUGGAGAACACCAUGCAAGGACUGCCGUGGGGAGCAAACAGGAUUAGAUACCCUGGUAGUCCACGCCGUAACGAUGCGCUAGUGUUUACCAUAACGCGUUAAGGCGCCUGGGGUCGGCCGCAAGGCAAAAAGGAUGACGGGCGCAAGCGGUGGAUGGGUUAAUUCAACCAAACUCGUUAAAGCGCGGUGAUGC
rnacentral:rRNA from 1 species